UUUUUCGCUUGUUGUGCGUUCGAGAAUCAUGUGAAUAUAAUACAUUUUUAUACAUCACGUAUGACGGUAUAAGCCAUAAGGUUCACGUGCACAACACUACGUAUUUAAUAGAGAGUAGUUUGGAAUUUCUGCACGUGCAGUCCUGUGGAUCCUGCGUAUUGAUCAGAAAUAUUACUGUAAUAUUGUUUAUGAAUAACAAAUAAAUUCUUUGUAAUAUCAGGUGAAAAAAUAUAUACACAACGUAACUAUACAUCAAGCAUUAAAAGACUGAAAAUUGAAGUGGAAC